UGAGCCCGCAGCUUUCCUGCUGCCUCCGGGGUGGGAGUCGCGCUGGGAUCCUGGCUCCGCAGCUCCGUGGGAGGCGCUUUCAGACUCUGGCCAUUUGCCUUUUCUGAACCGGGUGUGACUUAGACACCCACUGGGUCUCGGGUCAGACCGGGCCCGACUCAGAAACCCGGGGAGUCAAGGUCACACGGCCUCUGACGUGGAAACCGGAAGUCUUGGUCCGACUGAGAAACCAGACCGGGUCUGCAGUUGGACUGGGUCCAAUUUAGAGACCCGCUGGGUCUGCGGUCUGACUGGGUCGCGUUCAAACUCAGGAAGUCGAGGUCGCCCAGCCUCAGACGGAGAAACCGGAAGUCUUGGUCUGACUGAGAAACCAGACCGGAUGUGGGGCUGGACCGGGUCCGACGUAGAAACCGUAUGGAGUCCGUCGUUCUGGGUCCACUCGGAAACCAGGAAGGGGUGGGUCCCGGCUGGGUUGGGUCUGCCUUACGCUGGACCGGCACCGGCGUGAGGCAUCCGGUGAAUACAAUUUUAUUGCAAGCCUGAACAAGCAGGCUAGCCUUACCAAAGGUAAUCUUGAAUUGCCGUGGCCACCGUGGAGAACUUUUCACCUGCACAAACUUCUUCAUUUAUGAGAUGCCCUGGAGUAAACGAGGUCUCCGCCAAGCGCUCUCGCCAUAAAGAAUAAAGGAAGAAUUAAUUUUCCUCUUCUGUGGUUCCCGGUGGCCGGGAUAAGGCCUACCGGGGCUCCCUACUCACUCCAGUGCCUGCAGGCGGGAUCCUGAGAAGACACAGAAGCCUCGGGGAGGAAAGAAUUCUUCCCGAAGUCAGCUCUCCCUCCCACCUUGAUCUCUCUGCCUGUAGUCUCCGGGCAAGAAAGGAAAGCUUGCAGAUAUUGUAAAACAUCUGGAUUUAGGGAACAGAAGUCCUUCUUGGUGGAACUUGCCUUCUCCCGCUGUGCUUUUGAGAUAUGAUCUGUUCUGUGCUCCUUAUCCUGAAAAAGGAAUGUAACAGCAUGAAUCUUGAAAGAGCCUGCACAAGUGGAACCAAACAAUGACCAGAAAGCCUUUGAGAGACAGAAGAUAAGGGAUCCAAGGCUUACAGACAACAGGGACUGUGACACUAUCAUCAACCCCAGGAAGGCAUUCUCUCCACUAUAUUAAAACUAUCAGAUCUUAAAACCCACCCAUGAGAAAAGUUGGGUCUGCAAAGUAGACUUCCCACAUUGUUACCAGUUGGCAAUCUGGCAAACCAUUGCUUAACUAUGACCAAUUAGGACAGAAGAUGCAAGAGGAAAAGCCUAUAGAUAUUGCCAUUUUUGGCAUAGUAUCCACACCUCACCAAUAAGAUGAAAUGAGUCCUUAAUCUUUUGGAAAAGGAUAUGAAAGAAGUUCAGAGAAGGAGUAAAGUGAUAAAUCCAAUACUUGCUGCAUCGGGUAAGAUGGUAAGAAGGAUACAAAGAAAAGGGCCUCCUUAUAAAACCAACUCUUAUUCCACCAGGGACAAAAGCAGCAAAUCUUUAGUUUCACUUGGGUGUUUAUGAUAGUGACACUUAUAGUGUCAAUAUAGAUAGUUCA